rnacentral:rRNA from 1 species
GACGAACGCUGGCGGCACGCUUAACACAUGCAAGUCGAGCGAGAGAAGAGAAGCUUGCUUUUCUGAUCUAGUGGCGGACGGGUGAGUAACACGUGAGCAAUCUGCCUUUCAGAGGGGGAUACCGAUUGGAAACGAUCGUUAAUACCGCAUAACAUAAUUGAACCGCAUGAUUUGAUUAUCAAAGAUUUAUCGCUGAAAGAUGAGCUCGCGUCUGAUUAGCUAGUUGGUAAGGUAACGGCUUACCAAGGCGACGAUCAGUAGCCGGACUGAGAGGUUGAUCGGCCACAUUGGGACUGAGACACGGCCCAGACUCCUACGGGAGGCAGCAGUGGGGAAUAUUGCACAAUGGAGGAAACUCUGAUGCAGCGAUGCCGCGUGAGGGAAGAAGGUUUUAGGAUUGGAAACCUCUGUCUUCAGGGACGAAAAAAGACGGUACCUGAGGAGGAAGCUCCGGCUAACUACGUG